rnacentral:lncRNA from 1 species
AUGUGUAUUAUGUCUCUGUAUACGCAUAAUAAUGAGUAUGCGUGCCUUUUCAUAUGACUAGUUCUAGCCAGAAAGCAAAGUUCUUAAAAAUAUUUAAGGUUUGUGGCCUGCAGUUCCAGCAUAGAGAUAAACACCAGGAAAUCCUUGGGUAAGUGUUCCCCUAGCAGCUGUGAAGUACAAUUACUAUUUCAUUUUCUCCAGACUUCCUUACCAUAUAUGCUGCUGUUCUCUCCACUUUUAGGGAACGUACAAUCUUCAGCCAGUGCUUGUUCUCUGUCAAGAGAAGAAGGUGCUCUCAAACUGUACAGACUGAUGAACAGUUCCCGUGCUGCACAAGAUGGUUACUGUGUCAACCACUGACUUCUGUGCCUGUCCUGCCUACUGUGCAUGGCUCAUUGAGCCAAAUUGACCAUUCUACAGAAUUUAGAUGAUGCCUAGAAUUAAUUGUGACACACUCAGGCUGUAGUAUGGCCACAAAAUGACAGAAGAUCUGCUCUGGUCUACUGCCUGCGUCCUGGUAUUUAUCCCUGCUAUUAUCCCCUUGCAUGGAGCUUUCAACUAAGGGUAGAAAAGUCACCCAGUGCCAAGAUGUUACCCAGCACACGUUAGUAGGACAUCAUGUUAAGUGAAGAGUGAAACAGGAGGUACAGCAGGUACAGACACCUAACUUCCAAGGACUCUUGAAAUCAGAGAGGAUGAUAAAGGCUCCAGUAUCCUCCUUCAUCUUGGGAUGCAUUUUGCUGCCCUUCUCAGACUAAUGUGAUGUGAAUCCAUUACACAGCUACUUUUACCUGGCAGGAACGGACGAACAGCAAGGUACCCAAGCAAAGCCAGCACACCCAGGAAAGGCAAUAACCGCAGCCAUUCUGAAACUGAAGACAAGCGGAAUUUAGACUGGCUCUCGGCACCGCUUCAGCCUAGUGCAGCAUCAGCUAUUCUCAAACGCUUUGGACUUCAGGUAGGGAACAGGACUGCAGAGUCAGCAGGGCUGAAGGCAG